rnacentral:tRNA from 1 species
GCACACUUAGCUUAAAUGGUAAGAGUAUCACUCUUGAAAGUUGAGGUUGUGGGUUUGAUUCCCACAGUGCACA